AUUGAACGCUGGCGGCAGGCCUAACACAUGCAAGUCGCACGAGUGGCGGACGGGUGAGUAAUGUCUGGGAAACUGCCUGAUGUAGGGGGAUAACUACUGGAAACGGUAGCUAAUACCGCAUACCAUCGGAUGUGCCCAGAUGGGCUUAGCUAGUAGGUGGGGUAAAGGAUCACCUAGGCGACGAUCCCUAGCUUGGCUGAGAGGAUGACAAGCCACACGUGAACUGACACACGGUCCAGACUCCCACGGGAGGCAGCAGUGGGGAAUAAUGCACAAUGGGCGCAAGCCUGAUGCAGCCAUGCCGGGUGUAUGAAGAAGGCCUUCGGGUUGUAAAGGACUUUCAGCGGGGAGGCGUUACCCGCAGGAGAAGCACCGGCUAACUCCGUGACAGCAGCCGCGGUAAUUC
rnacentral:rRNA from 1 species